UCCCUGGUAGUCCAGCGGCUAAGACUCUGUGCUCCCAAUUCAGGGGGCCUGGGUUUGAUCCCUGGCUAGGGAA
rfam:Ovis aries breed Texel chromosome 1, whole genome shotgun sequence.